rnacentral:rRNA from 1 species
GAUGAACGCUAGCUACAGGCUUAACACAUGCAAGUCGAGGGGAAACGACAUCGAAAGCUUGCUUUUGAUGGGCGUCGACCGGCGCACGGGGGAGUAACGCGUAUCCAACCUGCCCACCACUUGGGGAUAACCUUGCGAAAGUAAGACUAAUACCCAAUGAUAUCCCACGAAGACAUCUGAAUGGGAUUAAAGAUUUAUCGGUGAUGGAUGGGGAUGCGUCUGAUUAGCUUGUUGGCGGGGUAACGGCCCACCAAGGCAACGAUCAGUAGGGGUUCUGAGAGGAAGGUCCCCCACAUUGGAACUGAGACACGGUCCAAACUCCUACGGGAGGCAGCAGUGAGGAAUAUUGGUCAAUGGGCGAGAGCCUGAACCAGCCAAGUAGCGUGCAGGAAGACGGCCCUAUGGGUUGUAAACUGCUUUUAUAAGGGAAUAAAGUGGGUCACGUGUGACUUUUUGCAUGUACCUUAUGAAUAAGGACCGGCUAAUUCCGUG